CUAGUGGUGAUGAGCCUCUAACAUGUAAGAAGAACCCCAUUGUUGGUUUUUCAGUGAAAUAGUCAUGUUACGCUUGGCUUCUGAGCUUC